rnacentral:rRNA from 1 species
CAAAAACAUCGCCUUCUGCUAAUAUAUCCAUGUAUAGAAGGUCUCACCUGCCCGGUGAUCAUAGUAUUAAACGGCCGCGGUAUCCUGACCGUGCAAAGGUAGCGCAAUCACUUGUUCCUUAAAUAGGGACCUGUAUGAAUGGUCUAACGAGGGCUUAACUGUCUCCCUUCUCCCGUCAAUGAAAUUGAUCUAUCCGUGCAGAAGCGGGUGUACCCAUACAAGACGAGAAGACCCUUUGGAGCUUAAGAUAAAUAAUUAACUAUGUCAAAAUCCAUAAUUAAUCAAGAUUAGACAAAUAGACAUAAUUAUUAAAUCUUCGGUUGGGGCGACCCUGGGAGAAAACAAAGCUCCCAUGCAGAUUGGGGUAACCUAAAACUAAGAGAGACAUCUCUAAGUCACGAAACCUUCGACUAACAGAUCCAGUUAUUAAACUGAUUAGCGAAUCAAGUUACCCAAGGGAUAACAGCGCAAUCCUCUUUAAGAGCCCAUAUCGACAAGAGGGUUUACGACCUCGAUGUUGGAUCAGGAUAUCCUAAUGGUGCAGCCGCUAUUAAGGGUUCGUUUGUUCAACGAUUAAUAAUCCUACGUGAUCUGAGUCC